UUCACUUUCAGUAUUCCUUCUCUUCUGUUCACCACCCUCUUAUUUAUUCCUUCUCUUCAAUUUUUAAAACUUUGUCUCAAACCUAAACCACCGCCUCCUCCUUCUUCUACAAACCACACCACACCACACCAAUGCUCCUCUACAAGCCCAUACUCACUACCCCUUUUAUUGAUUUCCAAAACCAUAGAAAAUUCAAUCAUAUCUUUAUAUUUACGGGAGCUAACGAAGACAAUUAUGACGUUUUUCUAAGCUUUAAUUAUAUGCAAAGCGUUGGAGUCAAAGGCUUCCCAAUACUCAGAAGCAGAAUUUGCACAUGGGUCUGGGCACAUUGAUCCUUUAAAGGCCAUAGAUCCGGGACUUGUCUAUGAAAAUUCUGUCCAAGAGUAUUUUAAGAUAUGAUGCAACAUAUCUCAAACCCCAGGAAGUAUGAUCCACAAAAAUGCUAGUUGCCCUAUGAAGUUGGCUACCAAAGAGAUAAAUUACCCUUCUAUGGCAGUCCAAGUAGUAGCGGGGGAGUCAUUUGUGGUGUCUUUCCCUAGAAGCGUGACCAACGUCGGUCGAGCCAAUUCAACAUAUGUUGCACGUAUAGAAGGAGACCGCUCAAAGUUGCACGUUAGUGUAGAGCCCAACACAUUGCAAUUCACAACAGUGAACCAAAAGAUGAAAUUUGUGUUAACACUCACAGUCACAGGGAACAAAAUGAAGCACUCUACACCAAAACGCAUGUCACUCGUGUGGACUGAUGUUGUUCACAGAGUCCAAAGUCCUAUCGUGAUUUACAAGUACAACAUCCUAUGGAGAAGGGGCGAUUUUUAGAGCGUCCGGUGGAGAAGGAGCAUCGACACUAUCAAAGCUUUAUAUAGCAUUUAUUAUUAUCAUUAUGGUAAUAUAACUUUGUAUUAGGACCUACAACUUUGUUUUCUCAUUAUAAUAUAAUAAAAAAUAGUUCUUAUUGUCA